rnacentral:rRNA from 1 species
AGAGUUUGAUCAUGGCUCAGGAUGAACGCUGGCGGCGUGCUUAACACAUGCAAGUCGGACGGACCAUAUUCGUAUGGUUAGUGGCAGACGGGUGCGUAACACGUGGGUGACCUGCCCUCAAGUGGGGAACAACUCCGCUAACGCGGAGCUAAUACCGCAUAUGUUCGCUUUUUCGGUAAGGCGAGUAAAGCAGUAAUGCGCUUGGGGAUGGGCCUGCGGCGGAUUAGCUAGUUGGUGGGGUAACGGCCUACCAAGGCGAUGAUCCGUAGGGGGCGUGAGAGCGUGGCCCCCCACACUGGCACUGAGACACGGGCCAGACUCCUACGGGAGGCAGCAGUGAGGAAUAUUGCACAAUGGGCGCAAGCCUGAUGCAGCAACGCCGCGUGAGGGACGAAGGCCUUCGGGUCGUAAACCUCUUUUCUGAGGGACGAGUAAGGACGGUACCUCAGGAAUAAGUCUCGGCUAACUACGUGCCAGCAGCCGCGGUAAAACGUAGGAGGCGAGCGUUAUCCGGAUUUACUGGGCGUAAAGCGUACGCAGGUGGCUUCGUGAGUCGGACAUGAAAGCUCCUGGCUUAACUGGGAGAGGUUGUUCGAUACUGCGGGGCUUGAGGUUGGGAGAGGGACGUGGAAUUCCCGGUGUAGUGGUGGAAUGCGUAGAUAUCGGGAGGAACACCAGUGGCGCAAGCGGCGUCCUGGCCCACACCUGACGCUGAGGUACGAAAGCGUGGGUAGUAAACAGGAUUAGAUACCCUGGUAGUCCACGCUGUAAACGAUGUCAACUGGGUGUCGGUAGUUUUACACUAUCGGUGCCGAAGCCAACGCGUUAAGUUGACCGCCUGGGGACUACGGCCGCAAGGCUAAAACUCAAAGGAAUUGACGGGGCCCGCACAAGCAGCGGAGCGU